CAGGGGGGUUUGGCGCCUUUUUCCCCUCACGGGCUGCGCGCGGCCCCUGAAGCGCCUCAGUCCCCGGGCUGCUGUGAGGCCACGGAAAACGCUGCGGGGUCGUGUCCGAGCCCGAAUAGUAUCCCAUAAAAAGCAGCGAUGGAGUCAGGUGAACCGUCCGUCAGUGCUGCCGAGUCCUGGUCUGUGCAGAGUGUGGUGCCGAAAGGGCUGUUUGGGAUGGCAGCGCUUGCAGAGGCGGUUGAGUGGAGCAGGAUGAGCUCUGAGGGCAGCAGGAAGGUGCCGGUGUGUGGGAGAAUGUCAGAGGAAGGCGAUGGCGUUAGAGACGGCUGUGAAGGCAGCCAGAUGGACCCCGGGUAAUAAAUAUGAUAAUAUAUGAUAAUUGUUAACUAAAUCAGCCUGACCAACUCAAAACACUCUGCUGCGGAAUCAGACAGGAUUAUAAAUUACCCAGUAGGCCGGGAGCAGUGGAAUUGUCCACAAUUCUUUGCAGAAAUCAGCAAAGUUAUCACACAUAGGUAAAACCCUCAGAAAUACCAAACCAAGGUGAAGGGUGUGGCUCUGAGGGUGUGAAGAGGAUGGCGAGUUCCAGACCUCAGCUUUCAGCUUUAAGAGCCUUUUACACUGCAAAUUAUCAAGGUGACUGAAUUAAAUAUGAAAACUUUGUCAGUGAAGCUUGAAAUAGAAAGUUUCAUGUUGAGUGUUUGACGUUGAAAUCGAAUGUUUGGCAUUGAAAUGCUCUCCCGUGGCCAAUAGGAUGUAUUUCUAGAAAUUCAUGAGGGAGAAUUUGGGUGGAUCUGAAGGAAAGCCAAGGCGGAUGGUACCGGCCUAACCCAAAAGGAUGGUAGAAGGUGAAAAGAAGAAAAAGUAACUGAACAUGGGUUGCUGCAAGUCCAUUUUUCUUAAUGCCUGCAGUUCCACAGGCUCAGUUUGUUUUCAUGCUUAAAUACACUUAUUUUUGUGAACAAAUAAAGAGACAAGAGCUCUGUCCUCAUCUGCUUAGAUUCUGCUGACUGUACCCACAAUGGACAUUUGUUGCCAUGCAGCAGAAUAAUCUGUGACUUCAAUUUGAUACUAAAGCAAGAGUUGAAGAGAUUCCUCAGCCUGCAAAAUACAUCGCACUAGUUCACCAGCUUCACUGGGGCAGGAAGAGGUGAAGAAAAGGUGUAAAGGGAACACCUGGCUAUGAGAUUGCUGAAGGCUAAAGCAGCCUGCGGUACGUGGCAAUCUCCAUCUCCAGGCGAGUCUUGACAUCCAGCAGGAUGCUGUACUCAUUGUUCUGAGCCUCCAUGUCGACUCGGACCUGCCUCAGCUGAGCCUCCAGACUGGAAAUUGCUCCCUGUAUCUGGUCAAGCUGGUGACUGUACCGUGCUUCUGUUUCAGCCAGAGAGGCUUCCAGGGUCUGUUUCUGUAGUGCAUGGCAAGAACAGUGACACAUUAUUCAGAGAAUGCAUUUUUGUGUUAAAAUAACCUUUUGAUUGUAAAGCCCCUCAUUCCUCUAAUUAUCUUUUAAUCCUCUAUUUAUUACACCUCUGUGUAACUCUCUGCUAUCCACAGUCCUUAUUUUGCUUUUUGUAAUUUACCAUGUUCAGCAGGGACUGUAAUUCCAGCUCCAGGUUCUGGCAGAUCUGUCUCCGUUCUGUGACCUCUUUCCUUUGCACCUCCAGCCGCUCAACACUGAGGGCAACUUCCUGGUUCAGUUCUGCUGUCUGGAAUGGAGAAUGGAGGGACUGUGAACUGCAGCCAGGCAUGACUGAGAUUCUUGCUGGUGUUUAAGCUGUUGACUUUACCUGCUUUUCAAAAUGUUCUUUGGCUUCUUGGCGGUUCUUUUCUGCCAUUUCUUCAUAUUGCUUUCUCAUAUUUUCCAUGAUAGCUGCGAGGUCAAUGCCGGGAGCAGCAUCCACCGCCACGUUCACAGAGCCGCUGGCCUCUUUGCGCAGCCUCUCACGUUCCUGCAGCAAUGGGAACUGUGUUAGCACCAGCUGCAGGGAGCUGUCACUCCUGGCCAUGGGACACAAACUCAACAUCCACACACACAGGACUAAUCCUCAAUAGUACCUUGGGGCAAGGCAACUUAAUAACCUUGUAAAUACUGUUUAGUGCACCUCAUCUUAGAACAGUUCGCCUACUUGGUAGCAAUAAAUGUUAUAUCAUAGAUAAAUGUAUCAUAAAAAUUAUUUCCUCAGAUCCGGAUCUGUGGAAUGAGGGAGAAGUCAUGGCUCCCAUUUGUGUACUUUUGGGAUGGCAGUUCCUGAACCAUACAUUUUCUUAGAGAAAACCUUUACUCCUUCAUUCCUGGAAUGAAGGAGUGUUCAGCCUUUGAUCCCUGACAGCUUGCAUGUCCCUUAGGGUCACACAGGGUUAUGCUGCUUCCAGGAAGGAUAGAAAUGCUUCCUAGUGAGGUUGUUUGCCACUCAAAACCCCUCUCCAUGGCAGUGGUCAGCUGUUCUCACCUCCUCAUGGUUCUUCCUAAGGAAAACAAGUUCCUCAGUUAUGUUCUCAAUCUGGGACUCCAGGUCAGCUUGGGUCAGGGUCAGGUCGUCACGGACAUGGAGCAGUCCGGUGAUGUCGCUCUCCACACUCUGCCUGAGCAGGUGUUCGUUCUCAAACCUGUACAAUA